rnacentral:rRNA from 1 species
CCUACGGGAGGCAGUAGUGGGGAAUAUUGCGCAAUGGGGGCUACCCUGAAGCAGCAACGCCGCGUGAGUGAAGAAGGCCCUCGGGUUGUAAAGCUUUUUAAUUAGGGACGAAGAAUGACGGUACCUGAAGAAUAAGCUCCGGCCAACUACGUGCCAGCAGCCGCGGUAAUACGUAGGGAGCAAGCGUUAUCCGGAUUUACGGGGUGUAACGGGCGUGUAGGCGGGCCUGCAAGUCAGAAGUGAAAUCUGGCGGCUUAACCCCCAAACUGCUUUUGAAACUGUGGGUCUUGAGUGAUGGAGAGGCAGGCGGAAUUCCCGGUGUAGCGGUGAAAUGCGUAGAUAUUGCGAAGAACACCAGUGGCGAAGGCGGCCUGCUGGACAUUAACUGACGCUGAGGCGCGAAAGCGUGGGUAGCAAACAGGAUUAGAUACCCCAGUAGUC